CAGCAAAUGCAAUUUGAUGAUUUUCAGUCAUAUUCACUGACAUGAUACAAUAUUACUGAGCCUCUAGCUUUAGCAUUGCUCUGUUGAUCACGACCAUUAGAUAUGUAGUGACGUCUUGCAGUCAAAAGUUACAGUUGACUCAGGUAUUGCCAUUAAGGGCUGUAUCUGCUAUUGCCUCUCGUCCUCAAUCCCCCUCACCUGUGUCUUAAUGUAGCCUUAGAACUGCAUUUAUGGAUGGAACAUAAUAAAGACUACCUGGCCUUAAAAGAUGCAGUAUUUAACCACAACAUGCAAGUCACUACAAAUCAGGCCAUACGUUUGUGCCAUAAAACUACCUCCUGAGAAUGUAGGAGUAUCCUGGAACUGACAGAUGGCUUUUUUCUUUUUGGCCUCCAACUCAAACUUGUACUGUGUAAGUUGACAAUCAUCUUUUUCUUUUC